AGAAACAUGAACAUCCAAAACAAUGCAAAAAUAAAGUAAAUUUCACCUUUUCUCCCUUGGAAAAAUAAAAAAAACAGAGACUUUGAAGAUGGGCAGCUUAGAAUUUUCGUCGUAGUUUUAGUUUCCAAGUGUAAAUCCAAACAUGGAGAAUCAAGAGGUUUCUUGUGAUGUUGAUGAUGAUGAGCUGUCAUUGAAUCACAUAGUAGAUGAGGAAGAUUUUAGAAGCUGUUGUGGUGAUGAUGAACAAGUAUGGUUAAAGGAAACUGAUGAUAAUACAGCCAAAGAGAUGAACUUGAUGAUGAGUUCUCUGUUAAGAUGUUCUUCAAAGGAGUUUCAAUAACCGAGAGAGGAGAUUCAAGUUCUGGUCAUUCAGGAAUCGGUGUUGUGUUGGAGAGGUCAGGAGAAGAUUUUGAGUUGAUUCAGGUCCAGAAGAAGCUGACUUUUAUGCUCAAGACUCUGUAGCUAACUACUUAGCUUUACUCGAUGGCCUUACAGUAGCUUUAGAGAACAAUCUCCACUCAGUGGUUGCUGUAACUGAUUCAGAGCUGCUUUAUAAUCAGGCAAGUCCUCUUUUUUCCAAGUGGUUUCAUUAUCUCUCUUUGUUAGCUUUGCUGUUUUAUACCAAAUGGCUUUUGCAGAUAACUAAUGAGGAGAAUGGUGAUAGGAUUGAGAGGAGGUCUAAAGAGAGUCUCUCGCUCUCCCAAAGAAAUUGUUGGGAGUUUUAGUUUCUUGAUGAACUCCAAGAAAUGACUUUGUAUGCAAUUAUAUAUAAAAAGAAUUUGAUCA